rnacentral:rRNA from 1 species
GCUUUACACAUNGCAAGUCGAACGGGCUUAAAGAGCUUGCUCUUUAAGUUAGUGGCGAACGGGUGAGUAAUAUAUCGGAACGUAUCCAAUAAUGGGGGAUAACUAAUCGAAAGGUUGGCUAAUACCGCAUACGCCCUACGGGGGAAAGCUAGGGAUCGCAAGACCUGGCGUUAAUGGAGCGGCCGAUAUCUGAUUAGCUAGUUGGUGGGGUAAAGGCCCACCAAGGCGACGAUCAGUAGCUGGUCUGAGAGGACGACCAGCCACACUGGAACUGAGACACGGUCCAGACUCCUACGGGAGGCAGCAGUGGGGAAUUUUGGACAAUGGGCGCAAGCCUGAUCCAGCCAUUCCGCGUGAGUGAAGAAGGCCUUCGGGUUGUAAAGCUCUUUCGCAAGGGAAGAAAGAUUACUCUCUAACAUAGAGUGAUUAUGACGGUACCUUGAUAAGAAGCACCGGCUAACUACGUGCCAGCAGCCGCGGUAAUACGUAGGGUGCGAGCGUUAAUCGGAAUUACUGGGCGUAAAGCGUGCGCAGGCGGUUUUGUAAGUCAGAUGUGAAAUCCCCGAGCUCAACUUGGGAACUGCGUUUGAAACUACAAGACUAGAGUAGGUCAGAGGGGGGUAGAAUUCCACGUGUAGCAGUGAAAUGCGUAGAGAUGUGGAGGAAUACCNAUGGCGAAGGCAGCCCCNCUGGGAUCAUACUGACGCUCAUGCACGAAAGCGUGGGGAGCAAACAGGAU